AAGGAUUUAAGUUAAAUAAACUAAUAGCCUUCAAAGCUAUCAUUAUAAGAAGCUCUUUUAAGCCUUA
rnacentral:tRNA from 3 species